rnacentral:rRNA from 1 species
AUGCAAGGGUCAGAACUCACAACUGAUGCUCCGUAUUGUGACAGAUGCCUACUGCUGUUAUCCGAAAUGAUUUGUAUCAAAGAAACUAACUGCUAUAAUGCUUGUCAAAAUAUUAGUGCAGUUGUUGUUUUUCCACGCAUAGGGCCUAAUUUUGAUUUGCACAUGGCCUCUGAUUUCCCUGGUACGACCCUGUCUAGGGUUAGGUUUUGUUGUAGCAAAGCAAGGGAGCUCCUAUCUGCCGCUUAUUGCGAAAAAUUACAAUGGUUGUCAAAAAAACAUGAAACUCAUAAUUUGUCAUGCUAUUAUAAACUAAAUUUGCCAUGGUUAAUUACCAUGAUCAAAAUGAACAAUAUAGUUGCCAUGGUUAAUUAA